GAUGAACGCUGGCGGCGUGCCUAAUACCUGCAAGUCGAGCGAACAGAUAAGGAGCUUGCUCCUUUGACGUUAGCGGCGGACGGGUGAGUAACACGUGGGUAACCUACCUAUAAGACUGGGAUAACUUCGGGAAACCGGAGCUAAUACCGGAUAACAUUUGGAACCGCAUGGUUCUAAAGUGAAAGAUGGUUUUGCUAUCACUUAUAGAUGGACCCGCGCCGUAUUAGCUAGUUGGUAAGGUAACGGCUUACCAAGGCGACGAUACGUAGCCGACCUGAGAGGGUGAUCGGCCACACUGGAACUGAGACACGGUCCAGACUCCUACGGGAGGCAGCAGUAGGGAAUCUUCCGCAAUGGGCGAAAGCCUGACGGAGCAACGCCGCGUGAGUGAUGAAGGGUUUCGGCUCGUAAAACUCUGUUAUUAGGGAAGAACAAACGUGUAAGUAACUGUGCACGUCUUGACGGUACCUAAUCAGAAAGCCACGGCUAACUACGUG
rnacentral:rRNA from 1 species